rnacentral:rRNA from 1 species
GGGUGCGAUCAUACCAGCACUAAUGCACCGGAUCCCAUCAGAACUCCGAAGUUAAACGUGCUUGGGCGAGAGUAGUACUAAGAUGGGUGACCACUUGGGAAGCCCUCGUGUUGUACCUC